rnacentral:rRNA from 1 species
GGUUCAGGAUGAACGCUAGCUACAGGCUUAACACAUGCAAGUCGAGGGGCAGCAUGUUGGUUGCUUGCAACCAAUGAUGGCGACCGGCGCACGGGUGAGUAACGCGUAUCCAACCUCCCCUUAGUAGAGGAUAGCCCGGCGAAAGUCGGAUUAAUACUCUAUGUUCUUCAAUGCGGACAUCUAAGUUGAAGCAAAGAUUUAUCGCUAAGGGAUGGGGAUGCGUCUGAUUAGGUUGCAGGCGGGGUAACGGCCCGCCUGGCCUACGAUCAGUAGGGGUUCUGAGAGGAAGGUCCCCCACACUGGUACUGAGACACGGACCAGACUCCUACGGGAGGCAGCAGUGAGGAAUAUUGGUCAAUGGGCGCGAGCCUGAACCAGCCAAGUAGCGUGCAAGGACGACCGCCCUAUGGGUUGUAAACUGCUUUUAUCAGGGAAUAAAGUGAGGCACGCGUGCCUUUUUGUAUGUACCUGAUGAAUAAGGACCGGCUAAUUCCGUGCCAGCAGCAGC